UUGCCCAAGGUCACACAGUGAGUGAAUGGAUAACUUGGAAUGGCCUGAUGACCCCAAAGUCCCUGCUCUGUCACCCUGGCCGUGGCUGGUACAGCCUCCCAAACAUCUGAUGCAAGACUGUAAGAUUUCAGAAGAGCUCCAGAGAAGGGCGGUGGAGUGCAAGAAGGAUGAGAACAUCCGAAUAGGAGUGGAGGGGUAGAACGGGCCUGUUGUAGAGGCAGACAAAGGCCGAGAAAAGAAGUGGUAAAGGUGAAGAGGAUCAUGAGGAAGACCACGGGAUUGAUGUUGUCUGGGAAACGAUGGGUCUGACCACUUACUGCCUCUUUCAUUUGAACAUGAAAGGCCUGGAACUUGAUGCAAUAGGAAGCAUGUCCACUGGAUGCAUGCUGCCUUAUUUGUUGAAUUUGGCAGCAGUGAGCGCCCCCCCCUCCCCAAGUAAAAGACAAGAUACUCAAGUGUCAAGCGCUUACGGGGUCAUCCAUCUUCUUCGGCCUUCCACCCACUGGGCUGGACCACAUGCACCCACUGUUGGAGCCCCUUCUCUGCUCUCUUUUUGUCAUUAUGCUGUUGUCAAUUCCACCGUUUAUUCAGUGAUUAAUCAUCAUUUGGAAGGUUCUGCUGGGAGCUAACAGAAAGGGGAGUAUUCCUGCAGGUGGUUUCUCUCUGAUGAGUCAAAAGUGAUAAUGACUUGCUGCUGGGGCUUUGUCAUGAGGAGGGGAAGAGGGUGCCUUUUUUUUUCUUUUGCGGAAAUGCAUUGGAAUUUUAUAAACCUGGGAAAUAAACUUUAAUU